rnacentral:sRNA from 1 species
GUGUUAUUGAAGACUACAAAAGAAUUGUAAGGAUAUAGAGGAUACACAACACAAUGAUUUUGUCUAGAACGCGCCAAACAAACUUUUUUACUUAUUCUUAU